rnacentral:rRNA from 1 species
AUUGAACGCUGGCGGAAUGCUUUACACAUGCAAGUCGAACGGCAGCACGGGGGCAACCCUGGUGGCGAGUGGCGAACGGGUGAGUAAUACAUCGGAACGUGCCCGGUCGUGGGGGAUAACGUAGCGAAAGUUACGCUAAUACCGCAUACGAUCUGAGGAUGAAAGCGGGGGACCUUCGGGCCUCGGGCGAUCGGAGCGGCCGAUGUCAGACUAGGUAGUUGGAGGGGGAAGGGCCGACCAAGCCGACGAUCUGUAGCUGCUCUGAGGGGACGACCAGCCACACUGGGUCUGAGACACGGCCCAGACCCCUACGGGAGGCAGCAGUGGGAACUUUUGGACAAUGGGCGAAACCCUGCUCCAGCCAUUCCGCGUGCAGGACGAAGGCCUGCGGGUUGUAAACUGCUUUUGUAUGGAACGAAAAGGCUCUGGCUAAUACCUGGGGCUCAUGCCGGUACCGUAAGAAUAAGCACCGGCUACCUCCGU